CUGGAGCCAAAGGCAGAUGUCCACCAAAUGAGCCAUCCAGGAAUGUAUAAAGAAGUCCAAAAUCACAGUUCUAGAUGCCAUGUAAAUCUCCACCUCUCCAGCUGCCAUCACGGAAAGAUAUCAGAACAAAAAGGAGAGUAACAUGUCCUUUAAGAUGAGAGUGAGCUUCUAAUGUAAAGGGUAGCUGGACAGAGAGAAGUUGGGACUGGCUUCAGAGUGAAGGGUCUUCACAGAAAUAGUUAUGGUGACGACAAGAAGACAUUUCUGAAUGCAAGUCGGUAGCUCUGUGUCAG